rnacentral:rRNA from 1 species
GAUGAACGCUGGCGGCGUGCUUAACACAUGCAAGUCGAACGAUGAAGCCCAGCUUGCUGGGUGGAUUAGUGGCGAACGGGUGAGUAACACGUGAGUAACCUGCCCUUAACUCUGGGAUAAGCCUGGGAAACUGGUUCUAAUACCGGAUAGGAGCGCCUACCGCAUGGUGGGUGUUGGAAAGAUUUAUCGGUUUUGGAUGGACUCGCGGCCUAUCAGCUUGUUGGUGAGGUAAUGGCUCACCAAGGCGACGACGGGUAGCCGGCCUGAGAGGGUGACCGGCCACGCUGGGACUGAGAAACGGCCCAGACUCCUACGGGAGGCAGCAGUGGGGAAUAUUGCACAAUGGGCGAAAGCCUGAUGCAGCGACGCCGCGUGAGGGAUGACGGCCUUCGGGUUGUAAACCUCUUUCAGUAGGGAAGAAGCGAAAGUGACGGUACCUGCAUAAGAAGCACCGGCUAACUACGUG